rnacentral:rRNA from 1 species
UACGUAGGCAGCGAGCGUUGUUCGGAAUUACUGGGCGUAAAGAGUGUGUAGGCGGUGCUCUAAGUUCGGUGUGAAAUCUCCCGGCUUAACUGGGAGGGUGCGCCGGAAACUGGAGUGCUCGAGCGUGGGAGAGGAAAGCGGAAUUCCUGGUGUAGCGGUGAAAUGCGUAGAUAUCAGGAGGAAUACCUGCGGUGUAGACGGCUUUCUGGACCAUUGCUGACGCUGAGACACGAAAGCGUGGGUAGCAAACAGG